ACGGGUGAGUAACACGUGGGUAACCUGCCUUCGAGCGGGGGAUAACAUUCCGAAAGGAGUGCUAAUACCGCAUAAGACCACGCUUUCGAAAGAGAGAGCGGUCAAAGCUGGCCUCUGUACACAAGCUAGCACUCGAGGAUGGGCCCGCGGGGCAUCAGGUAGUUGGUAGGGUAAUGGCCUACCAAGCCUAAGACGCCUAGCUGGUCUGAGAGGAUGAUCAGCCACACUGGAACUGAGACACGGUCCAGACUCCUACGGGAGGCAGCAGUGGGGAAUCUUGCGCAAUGGGCGAAAGCCUGACGCAGCGAUGCCGCGUGAGUGAUGAAGGCCUUCGGGUUGUAAAGCUCUGUGGGGAGAGACGAAUAAGUGCGGGCUAAUACUCCGCAUGAUGACGGUAUCUCCUUAGCAAGCACCGGCUAACUCUGUGCCAGCAGCCGCGGUAAGACAGAGGGUGCAAACGUUGUUCGGAAUUACUGGGCGUAAAGCGAGUGUAGGCGGUUUCGUAAGUCAGGUGUGAAAGCCCCGGGCUCAACCCGGGAAGUGCACUUGAUACUGCGAGGCUAGAGUACUGGAGAGGUUGGUG
rnacentral:rRNA from 1 species